AUGACCUUCACCAUCAUCUUCAUCUGGACACUUUUAUUCUCUAUACAAGGGUGUAAAUCACAGAUCACAGUAACUCAAAGUCCUUCAGUGAAAACUGCAGCACCAGGAGACUCUGUUACUCUGAGUUGUUCUCUAUCACAUCCUUCUUCAAGCUGUACACCACCCUGUGUGGCCUGGUACUUACAGAAACCUGGAGAAGCUCCUAAACUCCUGAUAUAUCGGGUCAGCACUCUUCAGUCUGGAAAUCCAUCAAGAUUCAGUGGCAGUGGAUCAUACACAGAUUUUACUCUGAGCAUCAGUAGUGUUCAGACUGAAGAUGCAGGAGUUUAUUACUGUCAGAGUGCACACAGUGGCCCAGUGUACACACAGUGA